GCCAUGUGAUGAUGCCUUGGGAUAAUAUGGAUGUAGAAGAAGAGGUGGAGUCCUUCUCUUGGAAGAAACUCCAUGCCAAAUUAUUUUGGGAUGCCAUAUAUAUUUGGGUGUUGGAAUUGGAAGAGUCCAAUUCAAUUAAAACUCUUUCCUUCCUUUAAUUCUCCAUGCGUUUAUUAAUUCCACGUGACAUCAGAUGUCUCUUGGGAUUAUGGACACUAA
rnacentral:lncRNA from 1 species